UGUCCCUGUAGCUCAGUAGGACAGAGCACUGGAUUCCUAAUCCGGAGGUCGGCGGUUCAAGUCCGCCCAGGGACACUAU
rnacentral:tRNA from 1 species